rnacentral:rRNA from 1 species
UACGUAGGGGGCAAGCGUUGUCCGGAAUCAUUGGGCGUAAAGCGCGUGUAGGCGGUUCAGUAAGUCUGCUGUGAAAGUCCAGGGCUCAACCCUGGGAUGCCGGUGGAUACUGCUGAACUAGAGUGCGGAAGAGGCGAGUGGAAUUCCCGGUGUAGCGGUGAAAUGCGCAGAUAUCGGGAGGAACACCAAUUGCGAAGGCAGCUCGCUGGGACGUUACUGACGCUGAGACGCGAAAAGCGUGGGGAGCGAACAGG